UGGGGAAUCUUGGACAAUGGGGGCAACCCUGAUCCAGCCAUGCCGCGUGAGUGAUGAAGGCCUUAGGGUCGUAAAGCUCUUUCGCCUGUGAAGAUAAUGACGGUAGCAGGUAAAGAAACCCCGGCUAACUCCGUGCCAGCAGCCGCGGUAAUACGGAGGGGACUAGCGUUGUUCGGAAUUACUGGGCGUAAAGAGUUCGUAGGCGGACUAGCAAGUUAGAGGUGAAAUCCCAGGGCUCAACCUUGGAACUGCCUUUAAAAGCUGCUAGUCUAGAGACCGGAAGAGGUUAGGGGAAUACCUAGUGUAGAGGUGAAAUUCGUAGAUAUCAGGAGGAACACCAGUGGCGAAGGCGCCGCUCUGGGCCGUAACUGACGCUGAGGAGCGAAAGCAUGGG
rnacentral:rRNA from 1 species